rnacentral:rRNA from 1 species
AGAGUUUGAUCCUGGCUCAGAUUGAACGCUGGCGGAAUGCUUUACACAUGCAAGUCGAACGGCAGCACGGGAGCUUGCUCCUGGUGGCGAGUGGCGAACGGGUGAGUAAUAUAUCGGAACGUACCCAGACGUGGGGGAUAACUAGUCGAAAGACUAGCUAAUACCGCAUACGUCCUGAGGGAGAAAGCGGGGGAUCGCAAGACCUCGCGCGUUUGGAGCGGCCGAUAUCUGACUAGCUAGAUGGUGAGGUAAAGGCUCACCAUGGCGACGAUCAGUAGCUGGUCUGAAAGGAUGAUCAGCCACACUGGAACUGAGACACGGUCCAGACUCCUACGGGAGGCAGCAGUGGGGAAUUUUGGACAAUGGGCGAAAGCCUGAUCCAGCCAUUCCGCGUGAGUGAGGAAGGCCUUCGGGUUGUAAAGCUCUUUCGGCAGGAACGAAACGGUGGUUUCUAAUACAAACUACUAAUGACGGUACCUGAAGAAGAAGCACCGGCUAACUACGUGCCAGCAGCCGCGGUAAUACGUAGGGUGCGAGCGUUAAUCGGAAUUACUGGGCGUAAAGCGUGCGCAGGCGGUGACCCAAGUCGGAUGUGAAAUCCCCGGGCUUAACCUGGGAACUGCAUUUGAAACUAGGUCGCUAGAGUAUGGCAGAGGGGGGUAGAAUUCCACGUAUAGCAGUGAAAUGCGUAGAGAUGUGGAGGAAUACCGAUGGCGAAGGCAGCCCCCUGGGUCAAUACUGACGCUCAUGCACGAAAGCGUGGGGAGCAAACAGGAUUAGAUACCCUGGUAGUCCACGCCCUAAACGAUGUCAACUAGUUGUCGGAGGGGGAGACCUCUUUGGUAACGCAGCUAACGCGUGAAGUUGACCGCCUGGGGAGUACGGUCGCAAGAUUAAAACUCAAAGGAAUUGACGG